ensembl:snRNA U4 U4 spliceosomal RNA
AGCUUUGCACAGUGGCAAUAUUGUAGCCAAUGAGGUUUAACAGAGGUGCAAUUAUUACUAAUUGGAAAUUGAUGCACUUGUAUUGCUUGAAUUUAUCAGCCAAUCAAAAAGGAUGUCUUAUAUAUCUAUCU